rnacentral:rRNA from 1 species
AACGAACGCUGGCGGCAGGCCUAACACAUGCAAGUCGAACGCUCCGCAAGGGGAGUGGCGCACGGGUGAGUAACACGUGGGAACCUACCUUCUGGUACGGAACAACCAAGGGAAACUUUGGCUAAGACCGUAUACGACCUCCGGGUGAAAGAUUGAUCGCCGGAAGAGGGGCCCGCGUCCGAUUAGGUAGUUGGUGAGGUAACGGCUCACCAAGCCUUCGAUCGGUAGCUGGUCUGAGAGGAUGACCAGCCACACUGGGACUGAGACACGGCCCAGACUCCUACGGGAGGCAGCAGUGGGGAAUAUUGGACAAUGGGCGAAAGCCUGAUCCAGCCAUGCCGCGUGAGUGAAGAAGGCCUUAGGGUUGUAAAGCUCUUUCAGCGGGGAAGAUAAUGACGGUACCCGCAGAAGAAGCCCCGGCUAACUUCGUGCCAGCAG